UGAGACACAUUUUUGAGGACAAACGUUAUUUUUACUGUGCCUCUUAAAUCUGUAGUCAGGAUGCUGCAAAAGAGGCUUUACUUUAUAGCUAUAAAAAUGCUGCCAGUGGAUUCUCUGCUAAUUUGACUCCUGAGGGAGUGUCUGUGAACACAUUUACUAGCAAAAAUGGGAAGUACCCUCUGGUUUAUGGUGGAGAUGUGCCAAAUGCUAUGGCUGGUUUUUUAAAGUUCGAUUCUAGGCAUUGUAGAAAAAAUUCGUUGGAUUCAAAGUUAGUAAAGGGUAAAAUUGUACUGUGUGAUGAAUUAAGCAACGGGGAAUCGAUCUUUUUGUCUGGCGUAGCUGGGACCAUAAUGAGAGAUGCAGAAAAUAGAGAUAACACCAAACUUUUCCCUCUUCCUGCAACUUUCCUUGGUGUCGACGAUGGUGAUAAAGCUUUCAAAUACAUUAGAUCUACAAGGUAAUUUCCUAGACUAUUUGAUCUUAAUUCAACGAUCCAUUUUUUUGCAAAAAGA